UAACAUUAAUGUUACUCUAACCUUAUCAUAGUGUUAACAUUAUCAUUGGUCUAAUCUUAUAGUUAUAUAGGAGGCAUAACUUGCACAACAUCAAAGUAAUAACAUGUCACAAAUAAACACUCCAGCAUGGAGUCACGACAUAAACUAAAUGCAGCAAAUUAACUACUUAAUCUAACCUACUGCAACGACAAGAUAUCACCCCCUUAAACCAACCCACCUCAUUGGCAAGCCGACAUCUCAUAAAUAUCUCUGAGAUGAUUCCUCUUGCUGCCACGAAACCACAGCCUCAGACGGUGCGUCGUUCUGAACUCAAACGACCGAGUUAUGCUCCGUUUACUUCUUUGCAACUUGCAGAAACUGUCCUUUCACUGACUAGCUGGCAAAUUCCAGAUUUAAUUCUCCAGGUCUAGUCAUCCGCAGAUUCAUCCCUAACAAACAGAGAGUUACGUUCUAGUCACCUAAGUUUAUAGGAAGAACGUUUUAACCACUGACCCUAAUUUUAUGAAAAUUGCAUAAAUAGUCACUAUACUUAUCUUAAUAGCAAAAAGGCUAUCUUCUCCAAUUGGUCCCCACGGUACAGAGAACAACGCCGGAAACUCCAUGAUUCUUGGAUCGCUCCAGGUUGCGCCGAUCGCCCUCGGAACCUGCCGCCAGUAGCCACUGAUGGUUGCCGACAUCAACCGGUGGCCUCUUCCUUCGUCCGGACUCCAAGAGCCACCGCCAUAACUCCCGACGCCGAGCUCCUUCUCGACGAACCUCCCUUUCAUGGUUGCCGCUUCCUGAUCGUUGCAUCUUCC
rnacentral:lncRNA from 1 species